UAAGGAAUAUUGGACAAUGGGCGCAAGCCUGAUCCAGCCAUGCCGCGUGGUGGAUGACGGCCCUCUGGGUUGUAAACACCUUUUAUGUGGGGAUAAUGUGGUUCUAUACGAAUCAUUGCAGGUACCACAUGAAUAAGCACCGGCUAACUACGUGCCAGCAGCCGCGGUAAUACGUAGGGUGCAAGCGUUGUCCGGAUUUAUUGGGUUUAAAGGGUGCGCAGGCGGCUUAUUAAGUUAGUGGUGAAAUCGUCCGGCUCAACCGGAUACCCGCCAUUGAUACUGGUAAGCUUGAGUAUGUUCGAGGAGAUUGGAACGUGUAGUGUAGCGGUGAAAUGCAUAGAUAUUACGCAGAACACCAAUUGCGAAGGCAGAUCUCUGGGACAUAACUGACGCUGAGGCACGAAAGCGUGGGGAGCGAACAGG
rnacentral:rRNA from 1 species